UAGGCCAGUGCUCACUUGGAUUCUGCAGCCCAGGCUGGGGCUCGGGCUGGGGCUGGAAUCUGUGGCCUCCCGCAAUCACAGCAAAUGCAUUGUCCCCAGUUCACGACAAAAGGCCGGGAAUGGAACCUCCCCAGACUGACUCAGCUAGUUCACUUGUUUGGAACCCAGGCUGGUGGGAACCGGAUGCUCUGUGGAGGGCUGGCAUCCCUCUCCCUGCCCGAGCCCCAUGCCGCUCUGUGCUGUCCCUUAAAGUCCUCAACCGUGGAAGGAGCACAUUCUUUCCUGGGCAGCUGCUCUGCUAACUUCCAACAUGUUGCGCUCUGAGCUCGUAAAAUCAGAGGAAUCAAAGGGAGAAGCUGUAAGCGCUCAGGCCUGUGGGGACCGGCGGCUUUGGAGACUCCAGUGUGCUUUUUUCUUUCCAUAUGUGGCAGAUGUGCCUGUCUCAUCUUGCAGUGCCUUGGCCAGCUUUUGCUUUUCUGCAGAGGAAGGACCUGUGCUGCUGAAGGGAGCGCCAUCUACUCCAAUUUUAUGUUCAGCUCCUCAGUGCACAGUGCAAAUGACCUGGCUCAAUGGAUGUUGCCGUUUGGAUGAUUUCCUCCUUCCUUCCUGGGGCCAUUCUUGCUGGUGCUUGGUUCACCCUUCCCUUCCCACGUACAGAGGACUUGAACACUUUCAGUUGGACAAAAUUUAUCAAAUAUAUUUGCAUAAACCCCCUUUUCUGUCUUCCAAGCCACAUGGCCUAGGUUUCUCUGCAUCACAUUUGCUUCAUUUACGACACUUGACCAUACAUUGUACAGAAUGUGACCUGCUUGUUUCUGAGGAAUACCAGGUCCUCAGGGCCUUAUAUACCUGACUGGCUACACAAUUCGUAAGGCUUGGUGAGAAACGGAACUUCUACUGCUUGUUCAAAAGUUAUGAAGAAUUUCAAGCUGGUGACAGCAGAGCAUCAGACCAAGUGUGGUCCCCUGUGUAACUGCCCAAGUCACAGCUCCGUGGAGCCAGCCCUUCAUACAUGUAUAUCUUCAUAUGAGCAGCACUAGGCAGGAUCUGCAACUUGGCCUUCCUUUGCUUCUUUACUAUGUUUAGUCUGCAGACUAAGGUCAGUGCUUAUGUCUUGGUGCUUUGAAAAUAUUCCAUGGGCUUCUGACUUCUAUUGUUGUCAUUGAAAAGUCUGCUGUCCAAAAGAAACUACCCACAGAGUAAAUAGACAACCUACAGAAUGGGAGAAAAUAUUUGCAAACUAUGCAUCUGACAAAGGUUUAAUAUCCACCAUCUAUAAGGACUUAAACACAUUUAUAAGACAAAAACAACCCUAUUAAAAAGUGGGUAAAGAACAUUAACAGACAUUUUUCAACACAUAUGCAGUCAACAAGCAUAUGAAAAAAAACUCAAUGUCACUGCUCAUUAGAGAAAUGCAAAUCAAAACAACAAUGAGAUACCAUCUCAUACCAGUCAGAAUGGCUAUUACUAAAAAUAAAAAAAUAACAGAUGCUGUCA
rnacentral:lncRNA from 13 species